GACGAACGCUGGCGGCGUGCUUAACACAUGCAAGUCGAGCGGUAAGGCCCUUUCGGGGGUACACGAGCGGCGAACGGGUGAGUAACACGUGGGUGACCUGCCCUCAGCUCUGGGAUAAGCCUGGGAAACCGGGUCUAAUACUGGAUAUGACUCCAUGACGCAUGUUGUGGGGUGGAAAGCCGUUGUGCGGCUGAGGAUGGGCCCGCGGCCUAUCAGCUUGUUGGUGGGGUGANGGCCUACCAAGGCGACGACGGGUAGCCGGCCUGAGAGGGCGACCGGCCACACUGGGACUGAGACACGGCCCAGACUCCUACGGGAGGCAGCAGUGGGGAAUCUUGCGCAAUGGGCGAAAGCCUGACGCAGCGACGCCGCGUGAGGGAUGACGGCCUGGUUGUAACGU
rnacentral:rRNA from 1 species